UGCUCCAUCCCUAAAUUGAGACACAGGUUAUGCGUCCAUCAUAGUAAAUUUAUUUCAAUAAUGACAAUGAGGCCUGUAACUUUA
rnacentral:snoRNA from 1 species